UACGUAGGGGCGAGCGUUGUCCGGAAUGAUUGGGCGUAAAGCGCGCGCAGGCGGGUGGGGAAGUCGGAAGUGAAAGGCCGGGGCUCGACCCCGGAGGCGCUUCCGAUACUCUCUGUCUAGGGACCGGUAGAGGCCGGUGGAAUUCCCGGUGUAGCGGUGGAAUGCGUAGAUAUCGGGAGGAACACCGAUGGCGAAGGCAGCCCCUGGGCCUGUACUGACGCUCAUGCACGAAAGCGUGGGGAGCAAACAGGAUUAGAUACCCCGGUAGUCCCUGAGCGGGCUGG
rnacentral:rRNA from 1 species